rnacentral:rRNA from 1 species
AACGAACGCUGGCGGCGUGCCUAACACAUGCAAGUCGAACGGAGAUAAGGGGCUUGCUCCUUAUUUUAGUGGCGCACGGGUGAGUAACGCGUAGAUAAUCUGCCUGAUGAUCUGGGAUAACAGUUCGAAAGGACUGCUAAUACCGGAUAAGCCCACGGGGUCUUUGGACUCUGCGGGAAAAGGGGGGGACCUUCGGGCCUUCUGUCAUCAGAUGAGUCUGCGUACCAUUAGCUAGUUGGUAGGGUAAUGGCCUACCAAGGCUACGAUGGUUAGCUGGUCUGAGAGGAUGGUCAGCCACACUGGAACUGAGACACGGUCCAGACUCCUACGGGAGGCAGCAGUGGGGAAUUUUGCGCAAUGGGCGAAAGCCUGACACAGCAACGCCGCGUGAGUGAUGAAGGCUUUCGGGUCGUAAAGCUCUGUCAGAGGGAAAGAAGUGUAUUGUGGCUAAUAUCCGCGAUACUUGACGGUACCCUCAAAGGAAGCACCGGCUAACUCCGUGCCAGCAGCCGCCGCGGUAA